rnacentral:lncRNA from 1 species
GAGAGGGGGCCCUUCCAGCUUACUGACCGGAGUUGUUGGUUGAGCUGGUUUCAGGGGUGUGGCGUUCCAUGGGUCUUGCCCCUCUCUGCCCUCCCUAUCCUCAGGGCCAAGUGUGUGACCAGAGCUCGGGUGUGUGCCUCCCUUCACAGAUAUGUCCUCCUCUUCAUGAGAGCGGGGUACCUGCUUCUGAAGGAUGUAGGAGGCCAACGGGAACGCAGGGGUCCAACCGCCAGGAGAACCAGGGGAGGAACAGCCCCAUUUAGUUCUGAUGUUUUUUCUCUCCCCUCAGCAUGUGGACGAUGCCAUUCCAUCACCUCCCUCUAUAACUGCCAGCGAGAUAUCUCUGUCAACUGUCUCGACUCUCCGAGGGAUUGUUAUGCCAAGGUCGUGGAGUCCCCAGAGACCACCAGAGACCACCAGAAGUCCAACUCAUAUGCAAAAGCAAAGAGUCUUUAUUCAAGCUCAUGCUCAGACCCUCUGGUCUCUCCAGUGGACUGAAAGGUCCUGAGCAGGUGUAGGACAAGAGGCUGCUUCACAGCAGGUGAUUAUGAUUUGCCUCGUGAUCCAGCAGAGGUGUGGUUUUGCCAGCUGCAGAUAGUUUCUGCAAGUGUGUGACUUUUGGAAUUCAGUGAAGUUUUGAGAAGUAUAAAUGUCUGAAUGCCAGAAGAGGGAACGGGCACAGAGGAUGCUG